rnacentral:lncRNA from 1 species
UGGACUGACCUUAGUAGUAUCUAUAAAACUAAUUAGAUAUGCUUCACAUCCAUUUUUAAUUAACUGACACGCAGUCACUACUGAAAUCAAACAAUUAGGAAUUGUCUUCCUUUCACCCACCAUUACUAUUUUCAUUUCUCCUUGUAUUUCCAUAGCCACUUCCUUCGUUUUACAAUCAACAAUAGCAUGAUUUCUUGACAACCAAUCCAUCCCCAAAAUAACAUCAAACUCUCUAAGAUUAAUAAUAACCAAAUCUGCAUGUAGUUUGACACUAUCUACUACUACAGGACAUGAUCUCACUAUCGUAUUUACUGUGAUA